rnacentral:rRNA from 1 species
GACGAACGCUGGCGGCGUGCUUAACACAUGCAAGUCGAACGAUGAAGCUGGAGCUUGCUCUGGUGGAUUAGUGGCGAACGGGUGAGUAACACGUGAGUAACCUGCCCUGGACUCUGGGAUAACCCCGAGAAAUCGGAGCUAAUACCGGAUAGGACCUCGGAUCGCAUGAUCUGGGGUGGAAAGUUUUUCGGUCUGGGAUGGACUCGCGGCCUAUCAGCUUGUUGGUGAGGUAAUGGCUCACCAAGGCGUCGACGGGUAGCCGGCCGGAGAGGGUGACCGGCCACACUGGGACUGAGACACGGCCCAGACUCCUACGGGAGGCAGCAGUGGGGAAUAUUGCACAAUGGGCGCAAGCCUGAUGCAGCAACGCCGCGUGCGGGAUGACGGCCUUCGGGUUGCAAACCGCUUUUAGUAAGGAAGAAGCCGCAAGGUGACGGUACUUGCAGAAAGAGGACCGGCUAACUACGUGCCAGCAGCCGCCGUAAAAC